UAAUAAGUGUUUUAUGGCACUUUUUAAACCCAUAUCCACCUUGUGUGCAAUGUCAGUCGAUCUUCUUCAUGGAGAUCGACCAAACAUCAACCUUUAUCUUUUAACUCUUUGUCUUAAAAAUAUUAUGAAUAAACAAUUCAAAAUA
rnacentral:misc_RNA from 1 species